rnacentral:lncRNA from 1 species
ACAGUAGUUAUUUUAUAAAACAAUUACCAAAUGGUUUUCCAAGCAGGAUAGCGUGAUCCAUGCACUUGGGAUGUUGCUUGACUUUCGGAAAGCGUAAAAAUGCACUCGCCUGCGGCUCGAGUAUUUUUACGCUUUCCGAAAGUCUCGCGACAUCCCUCGUGCAUGGAUCAUGCAAUCCUGCACGGAAAACCAUUCGGUAUUCC